rnacentral:lncRNA from 1 species
CAGUGCACUGUCUUGAACUCCAACAUCAAAGUGUUUCUUCGACCUCGCCUCCAUCCGAACACCCAUCUCUUUCAGGACCAUAAGCAACUCUGCUCCUCGUCUCCCACGCUGUGGACAGGGAUCCCUGCUCCUGGGCUCUUCCACCUUUCGUGAACUGAGCCCCCUUCUGAAGUAAGGCAUGGGCACCCCGAAUGGAAAUGGCUGGAUUAAUGCGCAUGCAUGUCCAUACUGGUGCAGGGCACCUGCUUUUCUGGGACAAUUGCCAUCUGGAAUCAGACGCCUUCCUCAUUGUGUGCCUAUUUCUGGACAAAGAAAAGGAGAAUUGGAUGAGAAGCAGGCCUCCUCUCCCACAUCCUCCAGCCGCCUGGCAGGCCCAACUAAGACACCUGCUCCAGCUCAGGUGGUUUACGUGGCUCUAGGCCUUGGGUGCUGCCCUGCCUGCUCUGCUGAUGGCUGCCUACCGCCCCCCACCACCACCAGAGCAGCAGAGUUCCCUUCAGUAGCUUUCAGGGACUGGAAGGAAAGUGGGACGCCUCUCCCCGCAGCCACCGAGUUGAUGGCGACUUGUUACAGCAGCCACAGGGAACAAAUACAGCAACUGACCAAGGCAAGACUCUUCUGUUGCAAGCAAGAGAAAUCAUCUUGGGCUGACUUUAGCAGGAAAGCAACUCACAGGACAUUGAUUGGAGGGUGCAAAGCAUCUAGGAUGUUCAAAAGGACAGGGCCGGGCAUCUGGACAGAUGGCCCCACUGGUGCUGUUGUGAGGGAAGCUGCACUAGAAUGGUAA